CCCAUCCUAAACCCUCAGUCUUGCUUUCCUCCGAGGUCCUUCCACAAGCCACCAUCUCCUGUCUCCCAGGAGGAGGCACGCUCUGCCCUGCGGCGCACACCUGCUGUGACAUGGGCUCCCGCUGCUGGGGUGCUCACCUGCCUCCAGCUCCAGGGGGGACACCUGUGUCCCCAAGAACAGGGUCACUCCAGAGGGGAACAUCUCUUUCAACAGAGACCUUCUGCACCAGCGGGCAGCACCUGCUCAGCCUGGCCUGCCAUUUCCCCCUGAGGACAUUCUUUUUCACGCAGAAGCUCUGCUCUUGUGGAUGCAGCUACGCAUAACCCCCCAUUUCCCUUUGCACUCUGGCACAUGUCCUUCACGGACACUCCAAGGAGCUCUUCUGCUCCUCCUUUUCGUUCCCAAGCAUGCUAUAGUGGAAAAUUAUGGGCUUUGGGCUCAGAACAAUCUUGAUUCAACACUCAAGUCCCCUGAGUAAAAUCUGGAUAAAAUCUCUAACUUUUGUUAGGGAAUAGAAACUCCAAAGCAACCUAGCAAUUUUGAAAAAAUCCAAAUAGAAAUUCUAGAACUAAAAAGCAUAAUCUCCAACUCACAUCUGUAAAAUGGGAAUAUUCAUAUCUACUCACUUUAUUUGGUUGUUGUGAGAAAAAUGAAAGAAGGGACAUCUACUUCCAGCAACAGAAAGCUAAGAACUUUGAAUAAACCAUCUUGCUGAGCACGAUUCAAGAAGCUGGAUGAAAUAUAACAAACAUUUUUCUUAAAAUCAUCAAAGAGGUAACAAAGUAAUGAGGAAUCAUGGGCCAUAUGUUGGAGGAAGUGAGAAUUUAGAGAGGUAAUCCAGUACUCAACACCACUUUGCCUUUAAAAAGAAAUUAAUCCAGAACUAACAGUGGCAAAAAUGAGCUUUGGGUUUUGCAGAUUCCUCAUUCCCCUCCAAGGUGGGAAGCCUGGAUAUAUUCUCUCUCCCUAGUCAAAGCUGAGGUUCUGAAGGGCUUCGCCUUCCGGGUAAAGAUGAAACUAGGAGUAAAUACCGCUCCCAUUACAGGAGUUCAAGAGAGACUCGUCUGAGCAAGAGCAAGACUCCAUCUCUCUUAAAAAUAGAAGAGAAAAGGAAAGAAAAGAAACAGGUAAAAUCAAAUACAUUGACCAGCAUUGAAUCAAAAACAACAAAGCAUAUAAGGAAAGAAGACAUUAUGAGUGAGAACUAGAAGAAAUGAUAAUAAAAAGAGAUCCAAAAGGAAUUGAAAUACAGUCACGCAUCACAUAAAGAUGUUUCAGUCAAUGAUGACCGUAUAUAGAAUGAUAAUCCCAUAAGACUAUAAUCCCGCAUUUUUACUCUACUUUUUCUAUGUUUAGAUAUGUUUAGACACCCAGAUACUUACUAUUUUGUUACAAUUGCCUACAGUAUUCAGCACGGUAACAUGCUAUACAGGUUUGUAGCCUAGAAGCAAGAGGCUACACCAUGUAGCCAAGGUGUCCAGCAGGCUAUACCAUCUAGGUUAAGCACACUCCAUGAUGUUUGUGCAAUGAUGAAAUUGCCUAAUGAUGCAUUUCUUACAAUAUAUCCCCACUGUUGUGAAGCAUGACUGUCUUGGACUUAUCAGACACAGACAACUAUGUUUAUAAUUCAAAGAAAUAAAAGGCAAGCUUGAAAAUUUUGUUAGGGAAGAGAAACUAAAAAGCGACCUUGCAAUUUUGAAAAAAUCCAAAUAGAAAUUAUAGAACUAAAAAGCACAACAAACAAAAUUAAGACCUCAAUGGAUGGGUUUAAACACAGCUGAAGAGAAAAUUAGUGCACCGCAGGUUAGAAGGAACUAGCCAGAAUGCAGCACACAGAAACAAACAAGAAAACACAUGUGCCUCGUAUAAUGCCUAGCACAUAGAAGUAGGAACUCAACAAAUGUUGCUUCCAUUCUUUUACCUCUUUCAGGUUCUAAGAAAACAGUUCUUCUUCUACAAAACCUUUCCUGAUUCAUUUGGCCUGACAUCCAUCACUUCAUUAUUCUGAAUUUUCUCAGCAUCUUUGUACUUGGUUUAUUUGUAUUGACAGGAACUCAUUUAUUUCUUGAGAUCAGUGAAUGCAAGCACUUAUGUUUCUUAACUUAAGUUUCCCCAAACUUAUGUUUCUUGGUCAAAUGCUUCCUGGUCCACAAACCCAUCCCUCCUCUGUGCCAGGAUGAUGUAUCAAUGCACGGGCUUCCUUUUCAGAGGUAUUGCUCCAAGGAAAAGGAGUCAGUUGAAUUUCAAACUAUGGUCUGCUGCCUGACCCUGUUCCCCAGUCGGUCGGGGGCAAGGCAGCUGCUGACUAAGGGCAGCAGGGUUCAGGGAAAACAGGGAGCACAUAUGGGCCCUCUCAGGCCUUGCUUCCCUCUGCUGUCAGAGCUUCUCUUCGCAGCUCAUUCUGGAAAGUCUGAUGAGCAAAGUUGGCGAAUGGGAGUGGCUAGAAAUUGCCAAGACCAGCAAAGUCCCAAGAGGAGGCGUCAGCUCUGCAAGAAGUACUUCUGCUCUGCAGCCCCUGGCUGUCGAAGGACUGGGAGAACCACAGGUAGGCCUGGCCAGAGGUGCCUCCUGUGUGUUGGCUUUAAGUGUCUGCCCUUGGUUUCCAAGCACUACAGCAAGAGGGACAGGGAGCUGCGGUGGAGGAGGGCAGGCAGGCGGAGGAGUGGAGCAGGGCCUGUGGGUGGGGGCUGGGCUGCCGUAGAAGGCGGGGCACACCGGGGAGGUGGCUUUAUGCAGGUGGCAAGGAGAAGUGGUGGUAGCUGUGUUUUAAUCAUUAAGAGCCCAAGGGGACUACAGAAUCCAAUGCCCUGGCCUUACCGGCUCUGUUUCAACAUUAGAAAGAAUUAUUUUUCUAGACCUGAAAAAACUGUGUCACGGUUCUUCUGUGUCUGCUCGUUUGCAUGCACGCGCGUGCACCAACCUCAUUUGAUCAAGGAGUAAAACAAUGUGAAUUGAUGGCCUUUGCCUGUCAGACACUGGGCUGGGUGCCGGGGACUCAAAAAUGAUCACAACAGGGUCCCCACCCUGCCCUCGGGAUGUUCACUGGCUCCAGAGAGACAUAGUUCCUCUUGCUGGCUCCUCACUCUGCCCAGCCUGCUCUAGGGCCCUCUUCGUUCACUGAUUGAUAUCUGGACCAGCCAAAUGGUUCUAUAGCCCCCUCCUGGGCUCCAAAAGCAGCACCGGAAAUUUCAAGCAAGAAGCGGCUUCCUAGUCCAGCAUCGCCCAGUGCGGACAGGAUAUUACUGAGAUCAGAGAUGGAUGACCUGCUCCGGCUCUUGUCUGCCGACAAUCAGGGAUCAGGAGAUGAUCAAGGGGUCAGCGUGUGAGGGGCCUCCUGAAUCUAUUUGUGGCUCCAUCUAGAAUAAAUGGGGUGAGUGAUUGUGUGUCUUGUCCCCUCUGGGUCUUAUUUCCCUUCUUCUGAUUUGGGGCUAGGUUAGGUGCUUGUACCCAGUGACUAUUUAUUCUCUUUCAGUUCUUAGUCCUAUAGAAUGGGCCCUGAGCUACCUGGCGGAGGGCAGGUCCCGCAUGCUGGGGCAGAACACCUUGAGAAAGAGGCCCCGGUUGCUGGGACUCUUAGGGGCAGAGGAAGAAGCUGUGCUGGGUCUCCAUCCACCUGUUUGCCCAAAAGCUGCGCCCAGGAGCCCACACUGGGCACAGGCUGACACAUCUCGACCUUCUCGCCAAGCUCCCACUCUGGCUGGAGAGACGGCAGGUGUCUGAGUGCUACUCCUCUUCUCGGCUCCGUGAUCCCUGCAUUACUUGUACAGAGGAGAGACAGAGGACUGACACCGAGCGGGACGAUGAUGUGCCAGGUCCGGGCUCAGUGUUUUAUUCAUAUGGCCUUGGUUCAUGGUGUUAUAGUGAGGGUAGAAUGGAAUAAGAGACGUCAAGGAAUUUAGACAAAACCAGAAAAUACUACACAAAUAUGAAAGUGGAUAUAUUUUUACUACUUGCUACCCAAACUGGGAAUGCUGACUCAAGAAAUACACUGAAUGAAUGACGACUAGGUUAUCUGUGAGCUGUCCUUCCCUCUGUUAACUGGGUACUAGGUUUGGCUGGGGGGACUGGCUAAGGGGUGGUUGAUGGAAGGGUGAGAGGGUGAGUCACUCCAGAGGUUUGAGUAUGCAUUUGCAGGUCCCUGGGUGAACACUGCCCAUUGAAUUCCCAAGUCAUGCACUCUUAGGAUCACCCACUUGUAGGGAAGGGACUAUCUGUACCUUUGCUCUCUCCCAUUAGCACCCAUAGUCAGACUUGCCUACAUGAGGCUGAGGUUUAAUUAUUUUUAAAAAUCAAUUGGCUCCAUUAAGGGAUGACUAAAGUUCUAUUUUAAACUUCCCCUGGAGAGAUGUUACUCACUGGGAAUAGGUGAGUAACAUUAGCAAUUUUCUUUGAGAGCUUGGGGCCUAGAGAAUUUAGGGUCAGAUAUUUUUUUCUUUCUUCCCCACCUGCCUGCUUCCUUGGCCUAGAACAGACUUAGAGGCAGUGCGGAGUGGUGAUUAAGAACAGGUGAGAUGUCCCUGGCUCUGCUACUUGUGGUGUAAUGCCCGGCAGGUCAGUCUCUCCGAGUCUCAGUCUUGUCAUUGAAGGCUGGGGGCGAUGCUAACAGGACCGGAGUGGGGCUGGACAGGAUGAGACUUUUGGGUGCUGCCAUGGCUCCUGGCAGAUGCUCAGGGAGAGAUGCCAUUGCUGUGAAGGGAAGGGCCUGUCCAGCUGGUCUUGGCCAGCAGGGGUAAAAAGAAGGAGGAUGAGGGUCACGACCAACUCCUGGUCCCUGGCCAGUGCUGGUGGAGCUGGUUUCCACACCCUCCAGCUCAGCUCCGCAGGGAUUUCGGUGCUGCACCCUGCACGGGGCGUUAGGGGAAAUGCAGAGUGAUGGUGGGGUUCCUGGGGACCCACCAAACACGGGGCAGCGGGACGGUAUAAGUGCUGGGGGCCACAGUGUGAAGGAGCCACUGGACUGUAAAGUGGCUUUUGUCCAGUGUGAGCAGGGGCAGAGUCCUUGCACAAAGUAGGCAAUCAGAAAAAUAAGGGCAGUGCAUGUUUUGUGAGUGCUUAUUGCAUGCCAAGCACUGCACGAAGCACUUUAUUCUCUUGGACCUUUAUUUUAAUCUCCACAAGGGCCCAAUGAAGUAGAUUCUCCUAGCAUCCUCCUUUCGUAGAAGAUGAAACUAGGAUGCAUUUGCUUCAUAGCUUCAUGGGGGUCACCAGCUUGUAAGCAGUCAAACCAGGCCUCAAACCCAGCCCCGCUUCACACGAGUAUCUGAGCCCAGGCCCCUGCCCUGCUCGCUCUGGCUGCUGGGGACAGGGUGGCGGAGGAGCCUGAGAACAGUCCCUGCUGCUCACUCAACUGCAGUCCCAUCCCUUGGAUGUCUCUUGCUCAGCUCUGGGGGCAUCCAGGAAGAUGCGCUCUCAGCAUCCCCUGCCCCUGCCCACCAGGAUGAGCCCUGCCAUCUAGAGCUGGUGGGGACAGGGCCAGCUGGGUCAGGUCCCAAGGUGGAGGAGUGGGCAGGAGUGGGCACCCUCACGUGACUAACCUCAGGCUUCUGGGAGCCUCUUCCCCUCUCCCCUGGAGAAGAGCAGGCAGGAAGCUCACCUGGAGGCUCAGGCGCCCUCCGAGUGGGGGGAGUGAGUGGGGAGGAGUCACAGCGUGGUCACAGGAGCCCCUCAGGUCACUCUUGGAACUUUAGCAAGGAUCAGAAGCCAGCAGUUCUGGUACCAGCCCUAUCAGUCUCCAGUCCCUCAAAUUAAUGCACAAUCCAAUUUAAUUUCCCUUUAGGAAAUUAUGUAUUUUUAAAAAAUACAUGAAGAGUCAGAAAGGAGCCAUGGCAACGCGGAGGCUGAGCAUCAGAGCCGAAGCCAAGCCCCUUCUCCCUGAGCGGGGCCUGCCCGGCCCAGGCCAGAGCCUCUGCACCCUCUUCCCGUCAUAGCACGUGCGGAAAACCGCAAUGUUUGUUCAGGACGGUGGGUCAACAGGGUGGCCGUCUGUGGCCAGAGGAAGCCCACAAUCCAAGACAGAUAUGUAACCAUCGGACACAAAUAGACAUGUCCUCACGUAUGCCGUGGCCAGGCCUUGCACUGACACCAGGUGCAGAGAGAUGAAACACUGAAGGCACCAUGCUUAUCUUAGCCAAGUGCAGACGCGUGGAGGAGCCCGACAAAUAAACUGAUAAAUUACACUGCGGCACGGGAAGCUCCAGGACAGAGGUAGCAGCAGCAACUGAGGCAGGGCCUAGACGCGGCAGCCCCAAGUUUGCUGGGGACGUCUGGGAGGGGGACUGCUGCAGAUGCCACACCAUGAGAAGAGAAAACAGCAUCCACCGUGACAUCCCUGUGAACCAGACCUGGUCUAGCGUGAGUUCUGCCUAUACCGAGGUGCAGGGGUCCUAUGCCUAUGGUGAGCUGUAUAAUUAUCUCAUUAUCUAUUACAAUGUAAUAAUAAUAGAAAUAAAGGGCACAAGAAACGCAACGUGC